UACGAAGGUGGCAAGCGUUGUUCGGAUUUACUGGGCGUAAAGCGUGCGUAGGCGGUUUGUUAAGUCUGUUGUGAAAGCCCUGGGCUCAACCUGGGAAUGGCAAUGGAAACUGGCGAGCUAGAGUCAGGUAGAGGGUGGUGGAAUUCCCGGUGUAGCGGUGAAAUGCGUAGAGAUCGGGAGGAACAUCUGUGGCGAAGGCGGCCACCUGGACCAUGACUGACGCUGAGGCACGAAAGCGUGGGGAGCAAACAGGG
rnacentral:rRNA from 1 species